GGGUGGGAAUGGGAGUAAGUGGGGUCAACCAAGCAGACAAAGAUCUCCGCAUCAUGCUUGGGAAGUGCCUGGUUAUGGUGCCGCCAACUCGUGCCAAGGCACACUGAGGUACACUUCUCUUCUGUGGGGUUGGAAACCACAGGGCCACCUCCACAGUGUCUUUUCCCAUUUCCCUCUGCACACAAAGACCAUUGCCUGCACUCCACCCUGCAUGGUGGUGGCUCUCAGCAGACACAUCUGCAGUUAAGUGGAUGUGAUCACACAAAUGUGACCCGCAUGAGGUAGUCAGUGUCUGACGCAGACCGGGAAUGGAGGGUCGAUCCAGGUGAAGCCAUCAGCUUACAAAGGACUGCAAACCAGGUCAGAGGUUGAGUUGGGAUCGCAUUUAAAAUCUCUUCUUCUGAGCUGCAGAGGUGACUGAGCUUAAGCAUUAGAGUUGGGUCCCUAGCACGUACACUGGGCAGCUCGGAGCUUUCUGUAGCUCCAGCCCCCUAGAAUCUGACGCCACAGGCACCUAUGCUAAUGUGCGCGUGCACACUCUUGCACACGGGUGCACAUACAAUUAGAAAUAAAAUAAUAAUCUCUUUAAAGAUUCUCUUCUUCUAUCAUGACCUGGGUAGGUCUCCAUCCUCGUUGUUGUUGUUCGGUUCGUAGAAAAGCCCACCUCAGACCUAUGAAUCUCUUUAGGCUGGCUCAGCGUGGGUUGGGGAGCAUGUGUCAGGCACUCCACCAUUUCUUGUUCCCAUAGUAACAACACAAACAUUGUUAUCUCCACCUCAUUGUCCAGGAGGCUGAACCUGGGAGAAACAGAGUAGCCUGUCCAAGUGGAGCAGCUAGCAGGAGCUGGGCCAACAUAACGCUCACAAUUCAACAGCGUGCUCUCCUCACUCCCGAGGCCCUUUCCUACCAACCCUGAAGGGAACCCUGGGCAUCAGGGUAGUAAAGCAUCCCCUUCCCUGAGAAGUCUUCCAAAUAAGAGGCAGCACUCAGCCUCUAACUACAGCUUGGCCUGACCCUGGCUGGCUUGGCAGGACCUGCGCAAACAGAGCCACUUUUUUAUACCGGCAAUGUUAACAGAUCAUAGGUUAAUGUAAUUAUUACUGUUACUUCAGUCCUGAUUUCCUCUUGCCAGACAUGAUGUCUAAACAGGAAAGCCAGCCUUCCUGUUUGCACAUGAGUGACUUUCAGGUCUUGGCUUAUGUGAUCCCCCCACCCCUGAACCCCUCCUCUUCUUGUGGUUUCUAAAGAUUCCCUUUCGGUCUUAAACAUGACUAGGAAAUACAAUAAUAGCCCCCGUGGAAGGAAGGAGAGGGGCAUGGACCCAGUACGUGGAAGCUGCCGUUGCCAAGAGAUGGGUGCUGCUCCAGAAACCUGCUUCCUGUCCAAUGCUGUCCUUUAUCCUCAGGUGACACAGUUGGCCUCGGCCCUGACCUUGAGCACUGGGGUGAGCCUGGAUGCUGUCGUGAUGUCCUGGUUUGGCACGUCACUUACAUAGCCAAGACUCUAGGUCCAAGCGAUGGGCGGUGGGUCCACCUCUGGGCUGUAGGCUCAGUCCAGAUCUUCCCCUGUGAAUACCAUACCACAUAGCUCUGAAAGAGCUUUGUGUGGACACAUGUCUAAUAAGGCCUGGUCACAGGAAGAAUAAAAGUGAGACCAGUACAUUUCUGGCUCUUGGACCCACACUCUUGGUGUGCAGGGAGCAGUAUGCAGUAGUGAGUCACCUUUAGUCCUGGGAGGCAGGCAGGAUCUGACUAUGGCGUUUCCACUCCCCAGUGCCUGCAACCCUCUGAGGAGAUUCCCUGUCCUCUCAGCUCCAUUCUGGAAAGGGGUAGCAGCAGGUGUCAGAGAGAGAGAGAGAGAGGAGAGGGAGGAGGAGAAGGAGAAAGGGAGGGAGGAGGGGAGUUAUGGAGGGAAGUUGCUUUCCUCUCUCUCCCAGAGGCUCCCCUUGCACAGAUGAGGUCAUGUCUGUAACUGCUCCUGAGAGCUGAUGUGACAGACACAGGCAGGGGCUGGGGGCGAGAGGCUCUUUUGCUCAGUUCUGGGAGGGAUCCUGCGCCUCUACAUUUCUGAGAUCUCUGGGGAUCUUUGAGCUCCAUCUCUUAAAACUUCAUCGAUGACCUCACUCCCAUGCAUCUCUGCUCUGGCAGCUGUGCCUGUUUCUGUCAGGGCCGGGGUCGAACAGAGCCGAGAAGGAGGGGCCGGAGGGAAAGGAUGGCUCCUGGGACCAGGCACUGCAGUUGGAAGAGAAGCCCAGAGAAGAAUGAGGGCAGGUUGUGCGGCCCGUCUGGCUGAACGUGGGCAGUGGCUGCCAAUGGCCAGGGGUAUAUAAGGAGAGCUUCUGCCCCAGUCCCCUCACCUUUCAGAUGAGACAGAGAGGUUUGCAAAUAUGUCAUCCUCCAGAAAAAGGAAGCUGUUGGGAUCUAGAAGUUCUGUCUCCUUGGUUCAGGCAGGUGCCCACACCUGUCCAGAGGUGAGGAAGGGGACUUCUUGAUCCCACAGGUGAAGGAACAUGGGUCAGGAGGCAGGAUCAGCUGAUGCCCCCUGCAUAGCACAAAAUGGAUGCAAAACGUAUGCAAAGAUAGAUGCCCGUCCAUCUUUGUUGGAGUCUUCCGUUGGAGAACCAGGGGAACGAGGAGAAGCCUGAGAACACGCUGACUUCCUGCCUCGCCGUGCAUUCUGGAUGGCACCACAGCCUGUUAAGCUGCCUGUCGCUGUCACAAAGGAUCUAUUGGUGAUUAACUAAAUUGGGGGGGGGAGGAUGCAUUCAUUUCGGUUCAUGCUCUGUAGCUUUAGCCUUGUGGUGGCACAGGACAUCGUGACAGGACACACGGUGGAGGAGGCUGCUCAUCUCCGGGAAGCAAGGAGCAAAGAGGGGAAGAGACUGUAAUGUCCCAGUAUCCCCCUAGGCCAACCAUGCCCCAAGAGUGAUCUAACUUCCUUCCACCAGACUCUACUUCCCCGUGGCUGGACCGUUAGCAGGUGGGCUUCGUGGAUGGGGUCCAUUCAAGAUCUAAAUCAUGGCGGUACCCAAAAGUGGAGGAGGUUGCCUGAACCCCAGCAUCUGCUGUUCCACCCACUCCCCCAAAUGGCCCCUUGCAGACAUAGCUCAGUGAUGAAGACUCGGGCCAUCCUGCGGUUGAAGAGGGACAGGCCCCACUGUGCAGUUUCAGGGGUAGCAGCACUCGAACCAAUCAGUGCAGUUCUGGAGAGCUGAUCUCAUCAUCACUGAAGAAUGAAGAAUGGGGUCAUCGAGCUGGCUUAGCAGUGUUCCUCAGAGAACGGUGCCAUCAACCCUGGUUCUGUAGAGAUGAAGCCUGGGGUCCUGAGAUGCAGGGUUCCAGGAAAUGUCCCUUGUCUUCCUGGAAAGACAUCGAGUGGAUUUCCCUUAUUUAUCCCUGACGUGUGUUGCAGAAACCAUGUGAAGACAUGCAGGGUGGUUCAGGGUAAGAGUGGGUACUACUGAGGGGCUGUAGGGGGAGCCACUGAUCUAACGUCUGCUCACCCCUCAAGGGCUACCUCAUGUUCCCUCUUCCUUGCGCUCACUGUUCUGGCAAAUGUGAAGUAAAUGGCUUCUGCCACUG
rnacentral:sRNA from 1 species